AACCUUAUGGACCUGCGGGCGUAUACCUGCGGAGGGAUCAUUACCGUUUGCUUACGGCCGCCCCUCGGGGUGGCCUGUAACGCUCACCCUUUGCCCUUUACGAAACCGUUUGUUCCCUCCCGCCGGGUCCGCCCGGCGGGGGUCCAUUCAAAAACCUCGUAGUAACAGCAGUACCUGUCUGAACAAAUAUCAAACGUUAAAACUUUCAGCAACGGAUCU
rnacentral:misc_RNA from 1 species